rnacentral:rRNA from 1 species
UACGGAGGGUGCAAGCGUUGUCCGGAUUUAUUGGGUUUAAAGGGUGCGUAGGCGGUCUUUUAAGUCAGUGGUGAAAUCCUCCAGCUUAACUGGAGAACUGCCAUUGAUACUGGGAGACUUGAGUACAGACGAGGUAGGCGGAAUUGACAGUGUAGCGGUGAAAUGCAUAGAUAUUGUCAAGAACACCGAUUGCGAAGGCAGCUUACUAGACUGUAACUGGCGCUGAGGCACGAAAGUGUGGGGAUCAAACAGG